UACGUAGGGUGCAAGCGUUGUCCGGAAUUAUUGGGCGUAAAGAGCUCGUAGGCGGUUCGUCACGUCGGCUGUGAAAUCCCGAGGCUCAACCUCGGGUCUGCAGUCGAUACGGGCGGACUUGAGUACUGCAGGGGAGACUGGAAUUCCUGGUGUAGCGGUGAAAUGCGCAGAUAUCAGGAGGAACACCAAUAGCGAAGGCAGCUCGCUGGGACGUUACUGACACUAAGGCGCGAAAGCGUGGGGAGCGAACAGG
rnacentral:rRNA from 1 species